GAUUUCUGGCUGGCCGCGUAUGGUCGGGCGUCCUCAGGGCGCUUUGUAUUGUCGCGUGUUUGCCAUCCUUCCAGAGAGCUGUGCCUACCGUCUCGUACGGCAGGGCGCUGCGAUCUGGAUCGUUUACUUUGAAAAAAUUAGAGUGUUCCAAGCAAGCUUACGCUUUGAAUACAUUAGCAUGGAAUAAUAAUAUAGGACUUCUGUUCUAUUUUGUUGGUUUCUAGGACCGAAGUAAUGAUUGAUAGGGAUAGUUGGGGGUGCUAGUAUUCAGCGGCCAGAGGUGAAAUUCUUGGAUUCGCUGAAGACUAACUACUGCGAAAGCAUU
rnacentral:rRNA from 1 species